rnacentral:lncRNA from 1 species
CCCUGGACCCAGGGACUGGUGCAGAAAGUCAGGUCUCACCAAUCGGAGCGAGGCAUUCCCUAGGUCAAAGCCAUGGGCCAAUCUUGGGCUCAUGACCUCAUUUAGACCCGCAGGUCCUGGGGGAGGGCUUUGGGGGAGGUUCUUUCCUCUUAAGAAAGGCCUGUGGGAGCUGAUGCUAUGGCACUGGGGUGCCGGCCAGGAGCUGCAGAGCUACGCAUGAAUAAAAAGAGGCUGUGCUCAGGCGGCGGCGUGGCUGUGAACUGGCCAUGGAGGAGGGGAGGAGCACUAUCAGGGCAAGAUCCCCAAGGCCUGGUGGUCUCCAUGGGCCCCAUUAAACACCUGAGGAUUAAAGAUUCCAAGAAGCCUGGAUCCUCCCCACUCCAUAUUGCUGCCUGACAGGGGUUGAGGUGACGAGGGGAGCAUUGGUUUCCCUGGGGGAAUAAUUAAAGCUCUUUGGUGCUGAGCCAGAUCUGACAAGACUAAUGGUCCGUGUGAGCCAAGGCUCCAUGAGUUGUAUUAGCCAGAGAGUGGAGGAAGCCACAGCCGCUGCCACAGCCAGCCGCCACAGCCAGCCACCAUCAGGGCACCGAGGAUGUGCGCGCCCUGGAGGACUUCAGGCUCAGAGCCAUUCAGGGCCGGUGAGAAAGCUGAGGAUGGCAGGUACCUUCUCUCUAUGAGUCAUUGGUUGCCUCUGCCAACCAGAGACAAUGAUGGACAUUUACAUACUUCCAACGUCAGCAUGAAGGGUGAGUGUGGAACGCCACCUCUCUGCUGACCCAUCUGCAGGGCAGUGAGAUGGGCAGAGGCUGCCACUGGUCACUCACAAGUUCAUUCAAGAAUUAGCAGCUGAGGGCCAGACCCAUGCCAGAGCCAGCGCAAUAGAGAACCCCUGGCUCUCACUGUGGCAGCCCUCCAAGGUGCCCUCUCCUCCACCCGUCCGCCUGCCUGGGAGAUGCUGAGAGUGAGUGAACCUGCCCCUGGGAAAGAGCCAGGACUCCUAUGGGGGCUGCACGUGGGUGCCCCGCCUUGGCCACUGCUCCUGGCCACUUGAACUCUCUGGUAAGUGAAACGACACUUACACACUCUUGGAAUGACGCCCCCUGAGAGAUGCUGCUGAUUCAAGGGUAGCUCAGAAAACUGGUCAUCCAGACCUGAAGUUGGUCUCCUAAUUUGACAUAAUGGAAUAGAAUAGAAAGAAGCCACACACGUGGUCCCGCAACAUCUUAGUCCCUGAGAACCGCAGCGUUCCUCUCAGGGGCCAUUUGUGCUCACCCCUAGUGCCGUGCGGGACACAACUGAAUCAUGUCUGAAUAUCGUUGCAGGGAAUUUUUUCUGCUUAUAUCAACAUACGGACCUCAGACUCAGGACUUGUCCUAAAUUCUACCUUCUACGAAACCUAGGCGCUGAGGAUCAUGAUGAAAACCACCCCGGGGCUUUUCACAAGCUGCACUGGAGUCGACGGUGGAGAAGUUACAGACACGCAGUGUGUGUGUCACCUGCGGGCCGCUAAUUAGAGCGCCGCUGACAGCCCAGAGAUGGGGAGCUGGAGAGGCUGGGCGCGGGAGAGAGCCCAGGUGGGCUCCUGUGAGUUUAGGCCUGAGUGCUGCAGCGGAGCCAGCAAGAGCUCGGAAUCACCCAGCUUUGUGGAUCUGCCCUCCCCUUUGCCGUCCUCAGUCCAGCUCAGCCCUCGCCUCCUGGAGGAACCCAGCCCAGCUCGUCCCACAGCCCUGGGGCCUGCAUCACCCUGGAUGGACUGAAGUGGGUCUGACCGCUGCUCCCUGCAGCUGGUUUCCACCAAGGUCACAGGAUGCAGUGGAGGCCUGCAGGCCUGGGGCUUCUUCCUGCUUUGUUGGGUGGCCACUGACCGUGACCUCACAGGCUUCUGGCUCCCUGACCCUGGGGUGUCCUGAGCAGUGUGAGGUAGUGACACUCUUAGGGCUCCAGGAAACAUGUAUCCUCUCUCAGCACACCUGCUGUGGCCCAUGGGGCUCUGUUCUGAGCUCCUGGUCAUCUUCCUGACCGGGACAAGCCCAAAUAUCUGUGGUGGGGGGCUCCUCCGGAGCUCAGCCAUGGGAGAAGGCGGUAGACCCAGAUCAGCGUGGAGGACACCAGGUGAGCCUGGCUGAGCCUUCACCCUCUCAGAUCCCAAAAGUGCCCAGGUCUCAAAUCCAGGGUAAGGUCCCAGGGAGUCAGGGAACUGAUAGGGGAAAGCACUCAGCCUUGCAGGGCUUCGUCGCCUGGAUGUGGAUGAGACCAGCACACCACGUGGGGCAGCGAAGGCGCCAGGCCUGCUCUCCAACAGCAUCCUUUGAAUCAAGGGUCCUCACAUUCUCUCUUGCUUCCCAACCCCCAGUAUGCCCUCCUGUUUUCCAUCUUAUUAUCUGCUCCCUCUUAUCCCAGGGUUUUUCAGCCUCAGCACCACUGACAUUUGGGACGGAUCAUUCUCCCUGCUGUGGCCACCCCAUGCACUGCAGGCAGCUGAGCAGCAUCCUCGGCCUCCACCCGUGAGAGACCUGCACCACCCACCUCCGACGCCACCACCCAAAGCCUCUGCAGACACUUCCCGGUGUCCCCGGAUGGCAAAACUGGCCUGUGGAGGACCAGCGACCUGCCCCAGUGUUUACUGUGUGUGCAAAUACUCUCUGAGCCCCUGUAUGUGCCCGAGCUUGCCUGAGGUCUAGUGUGGCUGUGGCCAGUGGUGACACUAGAAAAAAACAGCAAACACGGGGCCUCGGCAUGCACCAAACUGGGCCAGAACCCACCGCAGCCAUGAGCUCUGGAACCCGCACUGCAAACAUGAGACCUCACCGUGCACCAACCUGGGCUGGAACCCACUGCAGCCGUGAACUCUGGAACCCACACAGCAAACAUGAGGCCUCACCAUGCACCAACCUGGGCUGGAACCCACUGCAGACGUGAACUCUGGAACCCACACAGCAAACAUUGGAGGGAAACACUGUCACUUCUACUUUACAGGCAUAAACACUGAAGUGCAGAGCAUUUGGGUGCAUCAGAAUUUUAACUCUUCAGCCCUGCAGGCCUCGCUUUCAGACAUUCUGCUUCAGUAGGGCUGGAAGGGGUCCUGGGGAGCCCCACUGCAGGGAACCAGAAACCAACUGGAAGAGCCGGUGUCCAGCAGGCCCCAGAGCUCCUCAGAGCCUCAGAUGGGGUUGGAGGGCCUUCCCCUGCUCCAUCCUUCCCCCAAAUACUGGUUGUUCCUUUCAUUCAAUAGAUGCUCAAAUCUUACACAAUUUAAACAGACAUUCCUAAGAGCACUGUAUUUGCAUGUAAUUUGACUGUUUUCUUGUAGUAGUUGUAAAAGGGGAAGGAAAAUCUAUUCCAGUUAAUUGUAGGUUCUGUGGAACUGGAGUUAGAUCACAUCACUAUUGAAACCAGCUUAUUAUUGAUCGGAAAUGUGACAGGCCUGGGUCCACGGGCACACGUGUUGCCAGAAGCCUUUGUCACUCCAUGGCUGACAUCUCUGCAUUGUUUUUCAGCUGGUAAUUCCUUAAAAGACUGAGACAAUAGUCAUUUAAUAUCGUUUGCUCAAAUGAACAGUUCCCCGAGCAAAUAACAAUAAUAAAAAAAAGUCCCUGAGAAGCCAAUUAGACUCUGCAGCUUGUACCAAGCAAUGGCCUUUCUAAUAGACGCCCUUUUUACAAGUGCAG